AGUGAACGCUGGCGGUAGGCCUAACACAUGCAAGUCGAACGGCAGCACAGGAGAGCUUGCUCUCUGGGUGGCGAGUGGCGGACGGGUGAGGAAUACAUCGGAAUCUACUCUGUCGUGGGGGAUAACGUAGGGAAACUUACGCUAAUACCGCAUACGACCUACGGGUGAAAGCAGGGGACCUUCGGGCCUUGCGCGAUUGAAUGAGCCGAUGUCGGGCUAGCUAGUUGGCGGGGUAAAGGCCCACCAAGGCGACGAUCCGUAGCUGGUCUGAGAGGAUGAUCAGCCACACUGGAACUGAGACACGGUCCAGACUCCUACGGGAGGCAGCAGUGGGGAAUAUUGGACAAUGGGCGCAAGCCUGAUCCAGCCAUACCGCGUGGGUGAAGAAGGCCUUCGGGUUGUAAAGCCCUUUUGUUGGGAAAGAAAUCCAGCUGGCUAAUACCCGGUUGGGAUGACGGUACCCAAAGAAUAAGCACCGGCUAACUUCGUGCCAGCAGCCGCCGUAA
rnacentral:rRNA from 1 species